CACGAAGCAGCAUGGCAGGGCCUGGGGAGGGCCUUCGGGAGGGGUUGUGUGGAGCAGCAGAGCCGGUUAGGAGCGAGGAAGAAAACAUGUCAUAGCAGGUUCUUUCUUUCCUUGGGGUCUCUGUUUCCUCAACGGAUACACGGGGUCACAGCUGCACCUGCUUCGCGGGGCUAUCCUGAGGAUUAAAUGAGGUAACGAGGGUAGAAGGCUGAGUAUGGGAUCCCAGCACACAGUAGGUGCUCAAAAAAUGUUGGCUGAUGUUCGUGUCAUGGGGUUGUGUCCAGCAGGCCAGGAAUCCUGGCCUGGUUUGCUUGCCGAUGCAUCAGCACGUGGCCGGUGCUGGAUGAAUUUCUGCUGGAUGAAUGAUGAUGCCAAGUGACUUGGCCAAGGUCCGUGCAGGCCAGAGGCUUCCCCCGGGUGGGUCUCACGUCCAGUGAUGUGCUCCUUUAAGAUGUCACAGUGGAGGCUGGGCGCGGUGGCUCACACCUGUAAUCCCAGCACUUUGAGAGGCUGAGGAAGGGGGAUCACCUGAGGUUCGAGAUCAGCCUGGCCAACAUGGUGAAAUCCCGUCUCUACUAAAAAUACAAAAUUAACCUGGUGUGGUGGCGGGCACCUGUAAUCCCAGCUACUCAAGAGGCUGAGGCCGGGAUCACUUGAACCUGGGAGUUGGAGGUUGCAGUGAGUGGAGAUAGUGCCACUGCACUCCAGCCUGGGCAACAAGAGUGAAACUAUGUCUCAAAAAAAAAAAAAAAAAAAAAAGAGUGACACUUGGUCCCUGGUGUUAUUGGUCGCCGGGAAAGAGAGAACCUCUCCCAAGCACCCAAAGGUUCUGGAAAGGGUGUCCGGGUACAGAGAGAAGAGAUCAAAGUAGACGCAGUUCCCACCCUCAUGCAGUGCCUGGGGAAGUGCCCAGGGUCUCAUGGGACAGGUGCUGGUGCUGGUCACCAGAGGUGCAGGACAACAUAAGAGGCUGUGAAAGAGAGAGAGGAAGUCCCUGGUGCUGGGCAUCCUGGGAAGAAUACAGAGAGCCAAGGCUUGGGGAGCAGUGACCGUGGGCCAGAGCUGAUGCAGGCACUGUGCAUGCUCAUUCAGCCCUGACAACAGCCCUGUUGAACAGACAAGGAAACCGAGGCUCAGAGAGGCUGGGCAACUUGCUUGAGGGCACACAGCCUGGGAGUGCUGGAGCUAGAGCCUGAGCAUAGGUGGACACCUGCACAGCUGGUCCUACCACCCCCCAGUCACUCUCCACCAUUUGUUAGAUGCAAAGUGCAGAGGCUUUGACCUGUUGCUAAUAGUCUCCCCAGCAGCUCUGUAAGGGAGGCUUUUCAGAUACCUUUUUUGAGGGGGAUGGGGGAAAUAUAAGACCAUCCACUGUAGAAGACAGAUUGGUGCUUCCUCAAUAAGUUAAACAUAGAGUUACCUUAUGACUCAGAAAUUCCACUCCUAGGUGUAUACCCCAAAGAAUCAAAGACAGGUAGGCAUCCUGUUAGAUGCCUUGUUAGACAUUC
rnacentral:lncRNA from 1 species